rnacentral:rRNA from 1 species
AGGACGAACGCUGGCGGCGUGCUUAACACAUGCAAGUCGAGCGGAAAGGCCCUUCGGGGUACUCGAGCGGCGAACGGGUGAGUAACACGUGGGCAACCUGCCCUUAGCUCUGGGAUAGCUCCGGGAAACCGGAAUUAAUACCGGAUAUGACCUAGGCCGACAUCGGCCGUGGUGGAAAGUUUUUCGGCUAGGGAUGGACUCGCGGCCUAUCAGCUAGUUGGUGGGGUAAUGGCCUACCAAGGCGACGACGGGUAGCCGGCCUGAGAGGGCGACCGGCCACACUGGGACUGAGACACGGCCCAGACUCCUACGGGAGGCAGCAGUGGGGAAUCUUGCGCAAUGGGCGAAAGCCUGACGCAGCGACGCCGCGUGGGGGAUGAAGGCCUUCGGGUUGUAAACCCCUUUCAGCAGGGACGAAGCGAAAGUGACGGUACCUGCAGAGAAGCGCCGGCUAACUACGUGCCAGCAGCCGC